UGUAAGCGUAUACCAAAGUUGUUGCAGUUAAAACGCUCGUAGUCGGAAUUUGGCAGUUCCGGAUGUGUGCACGUCGUGUGCGCACUUCGCGGGGAUUGCUUUUGUGGUCUUGCGUAGGAUGAGGCACUUUUAUUAGUGAACGUCCUCACGCAACCACUUUUUACUGUGAGAAAAUCAGAGUGCUCAAAGCAGGCAUUUGCCGUGAAUGUAUUAGCAUGGAAUAAUAGAAUAGGACUUGGUUCUAUUUUGUUGGUUUGUUGGGACUGAGUAAUGAUUAAGAGGGACAGUUGGGGGCAUUUGUAUUUCGGUGCUAGAGGUGAAAUUCUUAGAUUACCAAAAGACAAACUGCUGCGAAAGCGUCUGCCAAGGAUGUUUUCAUUGA
rnacentral:rRNA from 1 species